ensembl:lincRNA Gm28979 predicted gene 28979
UACUUGGUGCUGGAAAGAAAUGGAGACGUGUUUGCUGUCUCUUUGGCAAAUGACUACCCUUUGCAAGCCCAGGGAAGAAGUUCAAGAAGUUCCAGGAACAACUCAGGUAGAUCUGACCUCACCCGGGAGCUGGAGGGAAAUGCCUUCAUCUGGGAUUUAGAGGAUCUGCCCUGACCUGGGAGUUAAAGGAUCUGUCCUCACCAGAGACUUACAGGAUCUGCCUCUACCUGGGAGUUGGAAGGAUCUAUUCUCACCUGGAAUUGAAAGGCUCUGCCCUCUUCAGCCUCUCCAGAACAGUAGUCUCCAUUUGAGGCAGAGACAAGGGAAACACUUUGCUAUGUGUGAGCCUUACUUCUUGCCAGGACUGGCUCCUCUGGCCUCUUCGGAAUUGGUGAUCUAAUCUCUCUGGCUUGCCCAAACUUGCCCUCUCUGGUAAUGUGCUCAACAGAACUUCCAGCAAAAGACAAGUAUAGCUCUCACCCCUCACCAGAGAAGCCUCCUGUCUGCAGGAGAUGGAGACGAUUACAGAAAUCCACAAGAGCUGAGUUCUUCUCUGUGCCCAACUCCAACCAAUACAUCUACAACCAACCCUUAGACCCAAGGCUCAGGGGACAUCAUGGAAGAAGGGCCAGAAAGACUGUAAAAGCCAGAGGACUGGGACAUCUGCUGUGAGAUAAUGUCUUCUGUGUGUGACAGGGAAGCUACAGCCAUGAAAUUACGAAGAUAAAGUCAUCUCAAUAAGAACUUUACAAUGACACCAUUUGAUAUUCCAACCUGGAUGGGGGAAAUCUUACAAGGCCCUGGCCCUAGAUGAAGAGCUACAGGGAAUUAGUAAUUAUAGGCAGCUAUUUAUAGGCAAUUAAGACCCCCCUGAUCAUAAGCGGUCAGACCUAAGCAUAUACACUUAUGAACAAACUAAAUGGACUCAGCAGGAUAUAACUAACUAACUAACUAACUAACUAACUAACUAACUAACUAACUAUAUUUUUAUGAUGGCUGGUUUUAUGUUAACUUGACAAAAGCUAGAGUUAUCUGAGAGGAGGGAACCUCAGGAAGAUGCCUCCAUAGGAUCCAGCAGUAGGGCAGUUUCUUUACAAGUGAUUGAUGGGGGGAGGGCCCAGUCUAUUGUGAGUGGUGGCAUCUCUGGUCUGGUGGACCUGGAUUCUAUAAGAAAGCAGGCAAUCAAGCCACAGGAACAAGUCAGGAAGCGGCACUGCUCCAUGGCCUCUGCAUCAGCUCCUGUCUCCAGGUCCCUGCCCUGCUUGAGUUCCUGUUCUGACUUCCUUUGGUGAUGAACAGUGAUAUGGAAGUGUAAGCCGAAUAAGCCCUUUCCUCCCCAGGUUUCUUUGGUCAUGUGUUUUUAUCACAGCAAUAGUAACUGUAACUAUGACAAUUAUAUUAAAAGAAGAGGAAAUGAUUGUGAAAAGGGUUGAGGAGGGGACAUGAAAGGAGUUGGAGGGGGUAGAAGAUGAGUUGAAAUGAUACAGAUGCAGUAAAUGCAUGAAAUUAUCAAAAAAACCUCGCAAAUAAAUACAUUUAAAU